GAGGGUCUAGCUCAGUGGUAGAGCACGUGCUUAGCAUGCAUGAGGUCCUGGGUUCAAUCCCCAGCACCUCCA
rnacentral:tRNA from 1 species